rnacentral:rRNA from 1 species
AGAGUUUGAUCAUGGCUCAGAUUGAACGCUGGCGGCAGGCCUAACACAUGCAAGUCGAGCGGUAGAGAGAAGCUUGCUUCUCUUGAGAGCGGCGGACGGGUGAGUAAUGCCUAGGAAUCUGCCUGGUAGUGGGGGAUAACGUUCGGAAACGGACGCUAAUACCGCAUACGUCCUACGGGAGAAAGCAGGGGACCUUCGGGCCUUGCGCUAUCAGAUGAGCCUAGGUCGGAUUAGCUAGUUGGUGAGGUAAUGGCUCACCAAGGCGACGAUCCGUAACUGGUCUGAGAGGAUGAUCAGUCACACUGGAACUGAGACACGGUCCAGACCCCUACGGGAGGCAGCGGUGGGGAAUAUUGGACAAUGGGCGAAAGCCUGAUCCAGCCAUGCCGCGUGUGUGAAGAAGGUCUUCGGAUUGUAAAGCACUUUAAGUUGGGAGGAAGGGUUGUAGAUUAAUACUCUGCAAUUUUGACGUUACCGACAGAAUAAGCACCGGCUAACUCUGUGCCAGCAGCCGCGGUAAUACAGAGGGUGCAAGCGUUAAUCGGAAUUACUGGGCGUAAAGCGCGCGUAGGUGGUUUGUUAAGUUGGAUGUGAAAUCCCCGGGCUCAACCUGGGAACUGCAUUCAAAACUGACUGACUAGAGUAUGGUAGAGGGUGGUGGAAUUUCCUGUGUAGCGGUGAAAUGCGUAGAUAUAGGAGGGAACACCAGUGGCGAAGGCGACCACCUGGACUAAUACUGACACUGAGGUGCGAAAGCGUGGGGAGCAAACAGGAUUAGAUACCCUGGUAGUCC